rnacentral:rRNA from 1 species
AAUCAACGCUGGCGGCGUGCCUAACACAUGCAAGUCGAACGCGAAAGCCCCGCAAGGGGUAAGUAGAGUGGCAAACGGGUGAGUAACACGUGGGUGACCUGCCUUCGAGUGGGGGAUAACGUCCCGAAAGGGACGCUAAUACCGCAUGACAUCCUGCUUUUGAAAAAGCGGAGAUCAAAGCUGGGGAUCGCAAGACCUAGCGCUUGAAGAGGGGCCCGCGCCUGAUUAGCUAGUUGGUGAGGUAACGGCUCACCAAGGCGACGAUCAGUAUCCGGCCUGAGAGGGCAGACGGACACACUGGGACUGAGACACGGCCCAGACUCCUACGGGAGGCAGCAGUGGGGAAUUGUUCGCAAUGGGCGCAAGCCUGACGACGCAACGCCGCGGGGAGGACGAAGAUCUUCGGGUCGUAAACUCCUGUCGAGCGGGACGAACGCUUCGCGGAUGAAUAAUCCGCGGAAUUGACGGUACCGCUAAAGGAAGCCCCGGCUAACUCCGUG